CUUAAUUUUGUGCGUUGACACAAUAACCCAACGGGUGUUUGACAGUAAUGAAUUGUUGACAACAUUUCUGCAUGUCUACAAUGUGUCCAUAUGGCAUUGAAAGUCAUUGUUCGUUUCAGUUGCCUCACUUGCCUACCAAGCUUCCAAACAUGGGGCAGUAAUCCUACAAAGGCCAAGAUCAUGCUUGAAUCUUGGUCAUACAUAAAUUGCAAGGUUUUGGGAUAAGUGUUGCCAAAAAGUUUGAAGAGUCAGGACGUGGAAGAAGCUUUAGUGUGAUUGGUCGUUUUGGUGCGAGCAGGCCCUGGAUGUCCAUCUCAAAGGGGACCUGGCAGGAAAUGUCACAUGAAGGAAAAUAAAACAAAUGGAACUUGCACACUUUAUACAUAUAGCAGACAGAGUAAUAGUUUCUUGAAAUAUUGAUUUUUUUUAAUCCUACU